rnacentral:sRNA from 2 species
UUUUCGCCUGAAUAAAAGAGGAUGAGAACCUCCGGAGGAGGUUUGCGCCGGGCGAAGCGAGACAACGUUGCGAACGCAACGGCCCGAAGGGGGCCUUACGCAGUAAGCCUAAUCCUCUCUCGCCGACCC